rnacentral:rRNA from 1 species
UGGGGAAUAUUGGACAAUGGGCGAAAGCCUGAUCCAGCCAUGCCGCGUGUGUGAAGAAGGUCUUCGGAUUGUAAAGCACUUUAAGUUGGGAGGAAGGGCAGUAAGCGCAUACCUUGCUGUUUUGACGUUACCGACAGAAUAAGCACCGGCUAACUCUGUGCCAGCAGCCGCGGUAAUACAGAGGGUGCAAGCGUUAAUCGGAAUUACUGGGCGUAAAGCGCGCGUAGGUGGUUCGUUAAGUUGAAUGUGAAAGCCCCGGGCUCAACCUGGGAACUGCAUCCAAAACUGGCGAGCUAGAGUAGGGCAGAGGGUGGUGGAAUUUCCUGUGUAGCGGUGAAAUGCGUAGAUAUAGGGAGGAACACCAGUGGCGAAGGCGGCCACCUGGGCUCAUACUGACACUGAGGUGCGAAAGCGUGGGGAGCAAACAGG